rnacentral:lncRNA from 1 species
GUUUAAAGCUGCUCAACACCAGGCUAUUAAUAUUGUUAUCUUGGUGGAACAUGUGACCCCAGAGUUGCUUCACAUUUGAAUUCAGUUAAAGGUCUGACAGUGGAAUAAUACAGACAUUAUCAAUAUGGUGCAGUUUGAUCCUGUUUUGAAGUACUUUCACAGAGAUGCACUAGAGUUUAUUAUUAAAGAUUUGCUGCUUUUAUUGAUCAGUCAUGCAGAUCACACUAUCAUCAUGAUUUUCUUUAGUUGUUAAGUAUUAAGGCACCUGCGUACAAGCAAUGCACAAUGAAAUGACUUUCCUGAGUCAGAAAUCUGGAAAGGAUUACUAGUGUGAAGGAUGAAGAACACACACGGAAUUGACUGCAGCUACAAGGAAGAGCACAUGGAUACUGAAAGCCUGAGGUUCUGUAUAUUUGAGGGAUGGAAAAAAUCAAGGACACCAGAUCUACCAACCUUGCAUAUUUCGAUGACAACAAGAGAGUUUUCAUGGUCAGUGAGUCCAUAACAAUGUCCAAAUGAAGUCCAGUCAAGGUGCAAAUAAGGAUUCAGCCCUGUUUAUAGGAGUUGACAAACAAAGCAUAUAGAGAUUCUUGGAUCCAAUAAGUGCACUGAGGCAUACUAAAGAAAUUGAUUUGAGAAAAGAAGUGUAGCCUCUGAUCAAAGAAUCCUGCUGAUAGAACAGAGCCAGCAAUUUUUCAUCUCUUGUGUCAAUGCUUUGAUCUACAAUAAGUACAUGCAAAAGAGAAUUUGAUGACACAUCACAAGUGCAUCUGCCUGGUAUCUUCAACUACAGGACUGUGUUGCAGAGAUCUGUCAGUUCCUGCUCUGAUGCUCUGGCAUUUUUGAUGCUUCUUUGAAAUAACAUGCUGUUGGACAUCAUAACUCCCUCCAUGAUGAAUAGCGUAGUCAUAUGCCAACUGUAUAGCAAGCAUUGCUUUAUGUUCUAUCAACCUCUGGACUGAUGAUUCCAGGCAGUUCUGGAUUGCUAUUUUUUUUAUUCCUUUCACAAAGACAUUGUGUGUGAUGACCUGAAUUAUAUCUUUGCGUGUUCUAAUUACUUUGAGGAUGCAUAGAUAUUCUUUGAAUAAGUAAUUGAGAAUUGGAACAGUCAAAUAAGGUCGGCACUACACAUACAUAUAUUCACUGAGUUUUUAAAUCAAAUAUUGUUGUGAAAACUAAUGACUGUACUGACAAAAUUGUCUUAGGAUGGAGUUCUAAGUGGUCUAACAAGUUAAGACAUCAUCAUCAUUAUGAACCAAAGUAAAAUUUAACCAGAUAAGUGGGCAGAUAAUCAGACCAC